AACGAACGCUGGCGGCAGGCCUAACACAUGCAAGUCGAACGCCCUAGCAAUAGGGAGUGGCAGACGGGUGAGUAACGCGUGGGAAUAUCCCCCUCAGUACGGAAUAGCCCAGGGAAACUUGGAGUAAUACCGUAUACGUCCGUGAGGAGAAAGAUUUAUCGCUGAGGGAUUAGCCCGCGUAGGAUUAGCUAGUUGGUGAGGUAAUGGCUCACCAAGGCGACGAUCCUUAGCUGGUCUGAGAGGACGAUCAGCCACACUGGGACUGAGACACGGCCCAGACUCCUACGGGAGGCAGCAGUGGGGAAUAUUGGACAAUGGGCGCAAGCCUGAUCCAGCCAUGCCGCGUGAGUGACGAAGGCCUUAGGGUUGUAAAGCUCUUUUGGCGGGGACGAUAAUGACGGUACCCGCAGAAUAAGCCCCGGCUAACUUCGUGCCAGCCGCCGCAGUAAUAC
rnacentral:rRNA from 1 species